rnacentral:rRNA from 1 species
CCUACGGGCGGCAGCAGUGGGGAAUAUUGCACAAUGGGGGAAACCCUGAUGCAGCGACGCCGCGUGAGUGAAGAAGUAUUUCGGUACGUAAAGCUCUAUCAGCAGGGAAGAAAAUGACGGUACCUGACUAAAAAGCCCCGGCUAACUACGUGCCAGCAGCCGCGGUAAUACGUAGGGGGCAAGCGUUAUCCGGAUUUACUGGGUGUAAAGGGAGCGUAGACGGCAGCGCAAGUCUGGAGUGAAAUCCCAUGGCUUAACCAUGGAACUGCUUUGGAAACUGUGCAGCUAGAGUGCAGGAGAGGUAAGCGGAAUUCCUAGUGUAGCGGUGAAAUGCGUAGAUAUUAGGAGGAACACCAGUGGCGAAGGCGGCUUACUGGACUGUAACUGACGUUGAGGCUCGAAAGCGUGGGGAGCAAACAGGAUUAGAUACCCCGGUAGUC